rnacentral:lncRNA from 1 species
CAUCCAUCCAUCCAUCCACCCAGUCAAUUAUUCAUCCACCUAACUAUCCAUUCAUCCACCAUGUACUCAUUUAACCAUCCAUCCAUCCAUCCAUCCAUCCAUCCAUCCAUCCAAUUACCCAUCCAUCCAUUCACUCACGUGUCCACCCAUCCAUCCACCCAUCUUCCUGUCCAUCUACCCAUUCAUCCAUUCAUCCACCCAUCUACCUAUCCAUCCAUCUACCCAUCCAUUCAUCCAUCCAUCCACCCAUGUAUUCAUCCACUUGUCUACCUAUUGAUCCAUCCAUCAGUCUAUCCAUGCAUCUAUUCGUGCACCCAUCCACCCAUCCAUCCAUCCACCCACCAUCCACAGGCCUCAGUUUGUUCAGGAGAAUAGAAGGGAAGUAAAUUUAUGUUUCUGGCUGCUGGUAGAGGCCAUGCCAUUGAUCUCAAUCUUUCUGUGUGAAGGAUGAGGAAGACCCCAGGGCCUCCCCAAGGGCAUUUAGGUGGAAACUGUCAGGAUCGUGCUCCUCAGAGAGACU